rnacentral:lncRNA from 1 species
AAGGUAGUUCAGGAAAUUUAAACCGCUUCAGUUUGAACUUUUCUUUUUUUCACUCGUCUCCUUUAAAACUUUCCGUCCAGCCUCUCUCGCUCUCACUUCUGUGUUGACAGUCACUUGAAAGUUUGUCAAACUUCGCAGCGGGUGACCGCAGUGCAACAGGGUGCUGGAAGACAGAUAUCAGUACAGAAGAGGAAAAAGUGCACCGGGACACUGACCUCCCUCCCAAGCCAGACCGGCUCGUUGGUGUGGGGUCUCCGCCGCAGGACAGAAGGGGACAAACUGCCACCUGCCUCCCCUGCAGCUGUGUGUGAGAACAAAAAAUCAACUAGAAGAGCCGUGUGCCUGGUACUCUGGACCGGCAGUGAAUGUGGUUUGUCAUCUCCACUGGUUGUCUGGACAAGCAAUCAUCUCCUCUUUGUCAGGUAA